UACGGAGGGUGCGAGCGUUGUCCGGAAUCAUUGGGCGUAAAGGGCGCGUAGGUGGCCCGGUCAGUCCGUGGUGAAAGCGCGGGGCUCAACCCCGCGUCGGCCAUGGAUACUGCUGGGCUGGAGCACUGUAGAGGCAGGCGGAAUUCCGGGUGUAGCGGUGGAAUGCGUAGAGAUCCGGAAGAACACCAGCGGCGAAGGCGGCGCUCUGGGCCGGUACUGACACUGAGGAGCGAAAGCGUGGGUAGCAAACAGG
rnacentral:rRNA from 1 species